GUGUGUUUUGUUGUUAUACUGUUAUUGAUUUAUCCUAAAAAUGUCUAGGGGCUUACGGUGUCUGAAUUUAUGUAUUAAAAGUAAAGAAGCUGUUGAAACCCUGAAAUUGCGACUCACAAACGAAGAGUUUUCCGAAGGAACAACAAUGUCUCAAUAGACGUUGGCGGUACUCCCACAAACAAAGGGAGACGAAUCUAAAGAUGCUCCAGACCCCAUGACUAUUCUUGACAAUGUUAAUGAUAAUGCUUUUUUUGAGCAAAAUCCAGAAUUAUCCUUUCAACCCAAGCCUGAUCAAGAAAUUAUUGUUAAUAAAUUAGCGGGACAUGAAGCUACGGUACAUUCACAAACAAACGGAGACGAACCUAAAAAUGAUCCAGAAACAAUUAUGACCUACACUAUUCUCGAAAAUGUUAUUGACAGUGUUAUUUCUGAGCAAAAUCCAGAGUUAUCUCUGCAACCCAAAGGUGAUCAAGAAGUUAUUAUCAAUGAACCAUUAGCAGGAGGAGCCGCUGAAACUACCGACCUUGAUAAAGACAACAUCCCUAUUAUUAUUAUACAACCAAAUGGAACAGUUGUUUCUAAUGAGGAAAAUAGUAUUGCCAUGAAUUCAUUCAGUGCUGCGGU
rnacentral:lncRNA from 1 species